rnacentral:lncRNA from 1 species
UAUAAUUUUUUUGAUAUGUUGUUGGAUUCGGUUGGCUAAGAUUUUGUUGAGAAUUUUUGCAUCUAUAUUCAUCAAUGAUAUUGGGCGAUAGUUUUCUUUUUUGGUGGUAUCUCUGUCUGGUUUUGGAAUGAGGGUGAUGGUGGCCUCAUAGAAUGUCUUUGGGAGUAUUCCUUCUUCUUCAACCUUUUGAAAGAGUUUAAGGAGGAUGGGCACCAAUUCCUCUUUAUAUGUUUGAUAGAAUUCACCUGUGAAGCCAUCUGGUCCUGGACUUUUAUUUGUAGGGAGUGAUUUUAUGACCUCUUCAAUUUCAUUUCUAGUGAUCGGUCUGUUCAGUUGGUCUGUUUCUGCUUGAUUCAGUUUUGGCAGGCUGUAAGAUUCUAGAAAAUUGUCCAUUUCUUCCAGAUUGUCAAACUUGUUGCCAUAUAGUUGUUCAUAGUAUUCUCUUAUGGUUUUUUGUAUUUCUGCUGUAUCCGUUGUGAUUUCUCCUUUUUCAUUUAUAAUUUUGGUUAUUUGGGUUCUUUCUCUCCUCUUUUUAGUGAGUCUGGCCAGGGGUUUGUCAAUUUUGUUCACCUUUUCAAAGAACCAGCUCUUGGUUUUAUUAAUUUUCUCUAUUGUUUUUUGAGUCUCUAUUUUAUUGAUUUCUUCUUUGAUCUUUAUAAUUUCCUUCCUUCUGCUGACUUUAGGACUUUUUUGUUCUUCUUUUUCUAAUUCGUUUAGGUGGAGGGUUAAGUUGUCAAUUUGGGAUCUUUCUUCUUUUUUGAGAAAGGCCUGUAUUGCUAUAAAUUUCCCUCUGAGCACUGCUUUCGCAGCAUCCCAUAGAUUUUGAGAGGUUGUGUCUUCAUUAUCAUUUGUUUCAAGGUAGUUUUUAAUUUCCUUCUUGAUUUCCUCAUUGACCCAUUGGUUUUUUAGUAGCAUGUUGUUUAGUCUCCAUGGAGUAGGUUUUUUCUCUUUGCUUUUCCCAUGGUUGAUUUCUAAUUUCAUGGCAUUGUGGUCAGAGAAGAUACUUGAGAUAAUUUCUAUGCUCCUAAAUUUAUUGAGAUUCGCUUUGUGUCCCAAUAUGUGGUCGAUUCUUGAGAAUGUUCCAUGAGCAUUUGAGAAGAAUGUGUAUUCUGCUUUUUUUGGAUGUAGUGUCCUGAAGAUAUCAAUUAAGUCUAACUUUUCUAUUGUUUCCUUUAGGAUCUCUGUUGCUUUAUUGGUUUUCUGUCUAGAGGAUCUGUCCAUUGAUGUGAGGGGGGUAUUUAGGUCUCCUACUAUGAUUGUAUUCUCAUCAAUAUCUCCCUUUAUGUCUGUUAAUAUUUGUUGUAUGUAUCUGGGUGCUCCUAUAUUUGGGGCAUAUAUGUUGACGAUAGUAACAUCCUCUCCUUGGAUGGAUCCCUUAAUCAUUAAGUAGUGUCCUUCUUUGUCUUUCUUUAUGUCUUUUGUUUUAAAGUCUAUUUUUUCUGAUAUGAGUGUUGCGACUCCUGCUUUCCUGUCCGCAAUCAGAGAGCAGUCACUCAAAUAAGCCAGCAUACAGAUUUAAUCAUGAACAUGCUU